rnacentral:lncRNA from 12 species
GCCCUCAGUCACACGCCAUCAAGUCUGGGCAUGGUCACCGUGUAAUUUCAUGAGAUGACUGAAAUCAUAAAACGAUUUUAACUUUAUUUCAUUUUCUUUCAUUUAUUCAUUUAGCUUGAUCAUCUACACAAUCUAAAAGUAUUUGGGGUCAGGAGAGCUGAGAGGACGAUUAAUUCAACAACCAUCAAGGCAUAUGACAGCCCUCAAGGCAGCUCGGAGCCGCUCCACUCACCAGCUGCUUCUGGACGCAUUUGCCAAGUUGCCAGACAUUGUGGAAAGAGCAGUUGCUUCCCAUAUGACAUCUGUGAUAUCAGCGCUGUUCUUGCCUCCUGGAUCAGAAUGCAUGAGAUGAUCGGAACACUGCGUCAGAGAACCUCUGGUCUAGGAAAAGGAAAUGGGCAAUCAACAUUUCCUCUUGGGGGGCUAUUUACAAUAUAGGUAAAAUAGCUGCAAAAAUUGCUUCUGAAAACAAAUGUUUUGAAUAUUGGAAUAUCCUAGAAAUUAGGUUUUUAAAAAUUUUAAGUUCAACUUGCCAAUAUAUACUGAACACCCAGUCCUCAUCUCAUUAAGUGCCCUCCUUAAUGCCUGUCAUGCAGUGACCCUGUCCCCCCACUCCCCUCCCCUCCAGCAGAACUGUUUGUUUCCCAGAGGAAAGAAUCUCUCAUGGUUUAUCUCCCUUUCUGAUUUUUCCUGACUCAGUUUCCCUUCCUUCUCUUAUAGUCCCUUGCACGAUUUCUUAUAUUUCACAUAUGAGGGAAACCAUAACAAUAACAAUUGAUAAUUGUCUUUCUCCAGCUGACUUAUAUCACUCCACAUCAUACCCUCCAGUUCCAUUCAUGUCGUGUAAAGAAAUUAGGUUUUAAAGUAUUGAUUAAUGAGCACAAGUAUGUUGGAUGAGAGGAAUACAUGGUAGGAGCGUUUUAAUGAAUAUAGUAGAAUGUUACCCAUUCUGAAGAAAAGAAAAAUGUUAUAUUUCUUUUUUUCUUUUUGAGGCAGCAUUAAAUGUGUUUGUUAAGUUCUAGUCAGCAAUUUCCUAUGAUUCAAACUUAACUUGGCUGACUAAAAUGGUUCUGUAACAUUAUUUCUUGGAAUAAAUCCAUUUCUCUAUUCA